rnacentral:rRNA from 1 species
GAUGAACGCUAGCUACAGGCUUAACACAUGCAAGUCGAGGGACCGGCGCACGGGUGAGUAACACGUAUCCAACCUGCCCUUUACUCGGAGAUAGCCUUUCGUUAGAAAGAUUAAUACCCGACAAUAACGUCGGGGGUGCGUUGCAUUAGGUUGUUGGUGAGGUAACGGCUCACCAAGCCUUCGAUGGGUAGGGGUUCUGAGAGGAAGUUCCCCCACAUUGGAACUGGGACACGGUCCAAACUCCUACGGGAGGCAGCAGUUAGUAAGAUUUGGGAAUGGGCGCUAGCCUGAACCGGCCAGGUAGCGUGAAGGAUGAAGGCUUAUGGGUCGUAGACUUCUUUUAUAUAAGAAUCUGUAUUAUAUGAAUAAGGAUCGGCUAACUCCGUGCCAGCAGCCGCGGUAAUAC